rfam:Octopus bimaculoides Scaffold887_contig_8, whole genome shotgun sequence.
CUACUUUGGCAGUAUACAUACUAAAAUUGAAAUGAUACAUGAUAUAGAGAAUAUUAUCAUAGCCAAGGAGCAAGGAUGAUACGAACAUUUGUGAAGCAAUAUAAAUUCUC